CAGCAGCCACGGUAAAACGGAGGGAGCUAGCGUUGUUCGGAAUCACUGGGCGUAAAGGGAGCGUAGGCGGCGUGGUAAGUCAGAUGUGAAAUCCCGGGGCUCAACCCCGGAACUGCAUCCGAUACUGCCAUGCUUGAGGGUUGGAGAGGUAGCUGGAAUUCUCGGUGUAGCAGUGAAAUGCGUGGAUAUCGGGAGGAACACUCGUGGCGAAGGCGAGCUACUGGACAACAUCUGACGCUGAGGCUCGAAGGCUAGGGUAGCGAAAGGGAUUAGAUACCCCUGUAGUCCCUGUCUCUUAUAC
rnacentral:rRNA from 1 species